CCUACGGGUGGCAGCAGUGGGGAAUAUUGCACAAUGGGCGAAAGCCUGAUGCAGCGACGCCGCGUGAGUGAAGAAGUACUUCGGUAUGUAAAGCUCUAUCAGCAGGGAAGAAAAUGACGGUACCUGAUCAAGAAGCCCCGGGUAACUACGUGCCAGCAGCCCGGGUAAUACGUAGGGGGCAAGCGUUAUCCGGAUUUACUGGGUGUAAAGGGAGCGUAGACGGCAGCACAAGUCUGGAGUGAAAUGCCUGGGCUUAACCCCGGAACUGCUUUGGAAACUGUGCAGCUAGAGUGCAGGAGAGGUAAGUGGAAUUCCUGGUGUAGCGGUGAAAUGCGUAGAUAUUAGGAGGAACACCAGUGGCGAAGGCGGCUUACUGGACUGUAACUGACGUUGAGGCUCGAAAGCGUGGGGAGCAAACAGGAUUAGAUACCCGUGUAGUC
rnacentral:rRNA from 1 species